UCUCGUUCAUUUAGAGGAAGUAAAAGUUCUUAACAAUUUCUCCGUUGGUGAUCCAGCUGAGGGUUCAUUACCGAGUUAUUCAACUCAUCAACCCUGUGAACAUACCUAAACGUUGCUUCGGCGGGAACAGACGGCCCCGUGAAACGGGCCGCCCCCGCCAGAGGACCCCUAACUCUGUUUCUAUAAUGUUUCUUCUGAGUAAAACAAGCAAAUAAAUUAAAACUUUCAACAACGGAUCUCUUGGCUCUGGCAUCGAUGAAGAACGCAGCGAAAUGCGAUAAGUAAUGUGAAUUGCAGAAUUCAGUGAAUCAUCGAAUCUUUGAACGCACAUUGCGCCCGCCAGUAUUCUGGCGGGCAUGCCUGUUCGAGCGUCAUUACAACCCUCAGGCCCCCGGGCCUGGCGUUGGGGAUCGGCGGAGCCCCCCGUGGGCACACGCCGUCCCCCAAAUACAGUGGCGGUCCCGCCGCAGCUUCCAUCGCGUAGUAGCUAACACCUCGCGACUGGAGAGCGGCGCGGCCACGCCGUAAAACACCCAACUCUUCUGAAGUUGACCUCGAAUCAGGUAGGAAUACCCGCUGAACUUAAGCAUAUCAAUAAGCCGGAGGAA
rnacentral:rRNA from 1 species